AUGAAACUUUUGUCAAAAAAACAAUCAUGAAAGAGACAAACUCUGUCUUUAAUGUUCUACUUAACAAAACACAGGUCCUUGUGUCCAGUUGCCACAGUAUGGUUCACUCAGAGGAACAUAUAAACAAAGUCUAGUUUAUAUUUUACAUGAUGAUUGCAAUGAAAUCACAGCACGUAAGCAUUUAUAUAUUUAUAGUUAAACACGUUUUAUAUCAGACACUGGAAGCAUUCAGAUCUGUAAAUUCAUAUGAAGACAUGGACUUCAUCUCAGGCUGAUUGUACUUUACAUUUGAGAUCAGAUGUUUCAUUAGCUCAACUUGCUGUAUUUGAGUAAUGAUCAGACCAACAACAACAUCAACAGGGUCGAGUGCCCGUCCUCCCGCAGGACAACCAGACAGGAAGGAGAGUCUCUGCCCGCCAGAGGAGGCCUGCAGUCUGCAGACAGUGUCCCUGCUGCAGGGACGACCAGGUGCCACAUACAAAGCGCCGGCGCCCUGCUGCUUCUGCAGACCUUCCCCAGAAAAGGAAGCAGACCUCCGCGGCUCUUCCUCCUAAACCUGCUGACCUGCCACCUGUCUCUAAUGUGGCCUCCAGCCCCCGGACCUCCAAUGCUCCCCUGCACCUCGAAGACCCUAUUAGGAUCCACAACCGCUCAGUCGAGGAGUACCAGCUCAUCUACCAUGAAGUUGUGGAUAACAUGCUGAGGUUCCCGGACGGUCGCCUGCGUCCAUAUAGUUUGGGUCUGGGUCGUCGUAUCAAGCAGAAGCUGUGGGAGCGACUGGACCGUCCGAUGUUCACAGAGACAGUGGAUGAAGACGGUCUGGUUCAUGUGGACGUGUCCUACGGUGCUGGAGUCCAGCCUCCGCUCUACAACGUGGAUGUUUCUGGUGAACCAGAGCCCGAAUAUCCACCAGCAAAAAGGGCAAAGCACUAAGACACACUCUCAUAAGCUGACAUGUCUAAUAAUACUGUGCUUUAAGUUUAGUUUAGUUUUUUUUAAAGUAUGGCAGAUAAGUUUAAGUUUAUUAAGUGUAGAGAUACGUUUUUAGUGCCAAGCAUAAGUAUUAUGUGCUAAGUCUUUAGUUUUAAGUAUUUAGUAAUAAGUAUAAGUCUAAAGUGUUAAGAGUAAGUGUUUAGUUUAAGUUUUUAGUUAUAGUAAUUUGUUUGAAGUAUUUCAUAUUAAGUGUUACGUUUUUAGUGCCAAGCACAAGUAUUAAGUGUCAAGUCUUUAAUUUUAAGUAUUUAGUAAUAAGUAUAAAGUGUUAAGAGUAAGUGUUUAGUUUAAGUUUUCUGUUUAAGUACUAAGUUGAAGUAUUAAGUAUUUAGUGUUAAGAGUAAGUAUUUAGUAGUAAGUAUAAGUAUUUAGUGUUUAGUUUAAGUAUUUAGUAAUAAGUUUAAGUAUUUAGUGUUAAGAAUAAGUAGUGUUAAGAGUUAGUAUUUAGUUGAGUUAAGUUUACUUUCAUUGAUCUUAAUGUAUCUCACCACUGAUGAAUUGUCUUCCUCUGAAUCAGUUCCUGCUCCUCUGUUAACAGUCUUCUUACUCCAGCUUCAGCCUCAACAGCAACAGUUAUCACCUGCCAGAACACCUGCUCCACCCUCCAGCCUCCACCUGUUACUUCUACCAGACAAAACAUCAGCCUUGAGCUGCAGCCUGUGAGAUGACAGACUCCUCUCCACCUGCAGCCUCUGUCUCUCUGUUGCCUACAUCCUCUACCAGCAGCUUCAGCAUCAAACUGCUGCCUCACUCUUCACCUGCAGCCUCUGUCAGCAACCUGCAGCCAUCUCCUCCAACUGCACAUUCUGUUGAAUGGCUGAUGGCUGAACCUCCAUCUACAGCCUUUGCCAGUGCCUAUACCUCUCGAAGUGAACUGCUAUCCGAGCCUCCACCCACAGCCUCUGUCAGCAACCUGCAGCUUCCGCCUCCACCUGCAGAUUCCUACAGCCAUCUGAAGACGACCACUGGGGGAGUGGUCGUCUUCAGAUGAAGAUCCCCACAGAAAGCUGUGGCCAAACCUCCACCUACAGCCUCUAUAAGGAAACCUGCACAGAUGUUAUCCUACUGCCAUGUGGAGACCUGAGUGGAACAGCAAGGACCAGAGAAACACACGUGUUUUCAAACGUUGUGAAAGACUGAGCUCACACUCCUCAACAUGAACCUGACUGACUGUGAUGAUGCCUUCAUGAAACGAGAGAGCUCCACUAUCUACCAGGAGCUGCUUCAGGGCCCUGAGGACAUCUCCUUUUACAACAGCUCUGUUCCAGAGAUGCUUCCUCCUCCUCCACAUCCUCCACCUUCACCACCCCUCCUGCUCAUCGCCAGAACUAAGAGUGCCCCACCCCAUCUCA